GAUGAAGAACGCAACGAAAUGCGAUAAGUAAUGUGAAUUGCAGAAUUCAGUGAAUCAUCGAAUCUUUGAACGCACAUUGCGCCCCCUGGUAUUCCGGGGGGCAUGCCUGUCCGAGCGUCAUUACAACCCUCAAGCUCUGCUUGGUGUUGGGCCCCGCCGCCCCGGCGGGCCCUAAAGUCAGUGGCGGUGCCAUCCGGCUCCGAGCGUAGUAAUUCUUCUCGCUCUGGAGGUCCGGUUGUGUGCUUGCCAUCAACCCCCAAUUUUUUUCAGGUUGACCUCGGAUCAGGUAGGGAUACCCGCUGAACUUAAGCAUAUCAAUAAGCGGAGGA
rnacentral:misc_RNA from 1 species